UACGUAGGGUCCGAGCGUUGUCCGGAAUUAUUGGGCGUAAAGGGCUCGUAGGCGGUUUGUCGCGUCGGGAGUGAAAACUCAGGGCUCAACCCUGAGCGUGCUUCCGAUACGGGCAGACUAGAGGUAUGCAGGGGAGACUGGAAUUCCUGGUGUAGCGGUGAAAUGCGCAGAUAUCGGGAGGAACACCAGUAGCGAAGGCGACACUCUGGGCCGGUACUGACGCUGAGGAGCGAAAGCGUGGGGAGCAAACAGG
rnacentral:rRNA from 1 species